ensembl:lncRNA novel transcript
GCGCGGAGCUAGGCUGCGAGGCGUGCAAGACGGAACGCGACGAGAAGCCGCGUGCGACAAGUCCCUAGGAGAGGACGCCGCCCUUCCCCGCAACCGGAAGUUCCCUGCCCAGGGCGCCUCCUUGAGCCUUCCGGGUGCGGUAGGCGUUGCUGUCGGCUGCUCCUUCUGCCUCAGUUUAUGGAGCGACUCUUCAGCCUCCUCGCUCACCCUGCCUGCUUUCUUUUAAGACAUUUCUUUUUCGUACAUAAUGUUUACCCUUCCCCAAACUAGACUUCUUAUCCCUCACAUACUCUUCGUGUGACUUGGUUUCAAAAUUUCUUAUCCAGAAUAUCCAAUUUGGGAUGUAUUGAGAAGGAUUCGAUUUCUUCUUUGGGAUCAGAAUAAUAGACUUUGAGUAAGAAGAAAUUUAGAAAUCAUCUGAUACUCCAAGUCCCUCAUUUUUAAGUGAAGAGAUUAAGAAUCAGAGAGAUGAAAUGACUCGCCCCAAAAAUCCAGAAAUUAUUUACAAAGCUGGAUCUCACAGUCAUAUCUCCCGAACACUUACUUACUCGAUGAUCAGUGAUUCUUAUGAUUCAAGGUUAACGAAGAAGCCUUUAGUGGGGGUGAUUGGGAGUUCAAGCGCUGAAAAGUUAGGGUUGACUUUUUUGAUUCUGUUAUUACAAAUUUUACCUCAU